CAAGGACGGCAUCUACGAUCCGGGAGAGAUCGGAGACCAGCAGCUCAGAUCUUUGAAUUGACCUGCUCUUUGGAAUUGGGCGCGGCAUCGGCGAUGGGGUGAGCGGCCGGCGGCCGGCGGCGAGCGGAUAAGCUGCGGGUGUGCUAAACACUCUGGCUGUCCUCUGCUCUGUCGUGGUCGGCCGGCGGAAUCGGUGGCGCCGUGGUCAGCCGGCUGAAUCGGCGAAGUGGUGCUCCAGCGAGAUCUAUUUGCUGUUAUGCUCGGAGCUGCCAUUUCCGUCGUCCUCUGAUCCGGUUGUCUCCUGGUUUGAUUCGCUCUCAAAUAACCUCAUAUGUUCUGUUGAUUUGGGUCUAUUGCCGUGCGUGUUUACCUCGUCCAUAAAAAUUGGUGCAGCACCUGGAUUUUCACCUGUUUUGGAUAGAUGCGUUAGAGGUGGUUCAGUUAUGGCAUGAAAUUUGAUGGGCGGUUGACUCGCUGAGGGAAAACUAGUUAUCCAUCGCAUUCAUAGAUUUAUUAUUGCAGGUUCUGGGCUUACCUUGCUCAGCAUGUAUGUCAAGGCGUCUCUCCUAGCACGAAAAUUAUUAGUUCAUGUAGAGUGAGCAGAAGAGAAGACACACCUAAUAAUCUAUGUUCAACACCAGGGCGUAGGAACUCUCCUCUGUCCAUAGAUCCAGGCUGUGUAGACACCAUAGCUCAGCAAUCUCGACAUUUUGUAGCUCACAUGAGUACGACCACGAGAGAUCUAAAACCAUCGGCGCUGAGAACAACACAUUGAAAUGGCCAUACAUGUCAGCUCGCAACGUGAUCUGCUUAAGCAUGGGGCCACGAUAUCAAGGUCACCAAGACACCGGUAGACACUCAAGAUAAGCUACUCAAUCGUCGGUGAGUGGACUUUGACUGCACGCGCAAGUGAGGGCACCACCUAAUCAGCUUAACCAAGUUGCUGAAGCUGCAGCGAGAGACAUACAGCUUCUCCAGCAUAGGGAACUCAACGCCCCCUGCCGGUAGUAUUAUAUAGAGUUGGCUGCGCUUAGCUUGGUAGCCCGAUGUUAGUUUUAGUCAUCUACUUUUCCAGCGACUCCUGUGUUUUUGCUCAAAAAUUUCAUUGCCGGAGCUCAUUGAUUCUUCAGGCCUUCGUGGGAGGUGGUUCACAUAUAUCAGUGGUGACGUAUUUUCUUAUCAACUACAUGUUUGGUUGCUCCUACUUCAUCAAAUCUAUGUUUUUGGCUGCUGAGGCAAUGGAUCCAUCAAUCUUCUUUUAUUGAUACCAACUAAUUUAUGACUAGCUAUGCAGUCUUUAAUAAUGUAAAAUGUUAAAGAAAAGAUUGGCUCACUUUUCUGCAUGUCACCAAUGCGUAAUUUCUGAUCCAUCAUGGAACUUGUGAUAGAUUGAUCAGUUUUUCCCAUAUCGUAGCUUGGCUUAUGUGUAGAGCCUGUAAAUUUACAUCAGUGUAUCUACAAUCAGGUUACUGUUGUAGCCAUAGCCAUUGUCUAGGAGAUUUUUUGAGCAUAUGCUCUUUUGUCGCCGCCGAUGGUUGACCGUAGAUUUACGUCAAGCGACAUGCUUUCUCAAUUUCCACUAAUUAGUUCCAGAUUGAUAUUUCAAGUUUCAGUUCAUCUUUUGCUUAUUGGUUUUGUAAACGAUUUGACUCUGUGGUGACAUGUAUUGAAUUGCUAGGCUAACAGCGGGAAGCAUGGAGGCAACGCCAUCGGUUCACCGUACAACAUGUCCUAGUCAGAGGACCAGCAGGCUAAUGAGCUCUUUAGAAAGAAGCUAGAGAUGUUUUGCAGUGGUCCAUACCGGAGCUCUCGUUCCCAUUGAUGGCUCCUCCGCUCGCAGAGGUGUCAGUGCCCUUAUUACGGUGACUCCGACAGCAGAGCUUUCGUUCUGGACAGCAGCUCCCCGGACAAUUCUCCCCGGUACUGCUUCCGAACAGACCAACUGGUUAUCACAAAGCGUGGUAGGUAAUGCUAGUGACAGUUUAGGGAAAACGAUGUGAUUGUGGUUAUAUUGGUCAGGUUAUAUUGGUCAGAUGUGUUCUUUCCUGGGGAAGCAAUCAGUAUAGAUUGAUUGUAAGUAAACUGUAAUAAGUGGCUCUAAAAGUCCCCUUUUGGAACGCCUGAAUUUGAUGGAAAACGAGUGUAAAUUGUUCUGUUUUCACACUUGUGAUUAUGUUUGCUGAUAUCAUUAUGAUUUUUCCGUACAACUAAUUAAAUUAUGCUGCUAUGUGAAUGUAUGGUGAUAUGAUUA